rnacentral:rRNA from 1 species
GUAUGGGAGUGAGAAUGUUGGCAUGAGUAGCGAGAUGUGGGUGAGAAUCCCACAGGCCGUAAACCCAAGGUUUCCAGGGGAAGGUUCGUCCGCCCUGGGUUAGUCGGGACCUAAGCUGAGGCCGAAAGGCGUAGGUGAUGGACAACAGGUUGAUAUUCCUGUACUACCGAUAACCGUUUGAGAGAAGGGAUGACACAGUAGGAUAAGCUAAGCACACUGUUGGUUAUGUGUGCCCAAGCAUUGAGGCAGUCAAAGUAGGCAAAUCCGCUUUGAUAAUGCUGGGAUGUGAUGGGGAGCGAAAUUUAGUAGCGAAGUAGCUGAUUUCACACUGUCAAGAAAAGUCUCUAUCGAGGUUAAAGGUACCCGUACCGCAAACCGACACAGGUGGGUGAGGAGAGUAUCCUAAGGCCAGCGAGAGAACUGUUGUUAAGGAACUCGGCAAAAUGACCCCGUAACUUAGGGAUAAGGGGUGCCACCAUCAGGUGGCCGCAGAGAAUAGGCCCAAGCGACUGUUUACCAAAAACAUAGGUUUCUGCUAAGUCGCAAGACGAUGUAUAGGAGCUGACGCCUGCCCGGUGCUGGAAGGUUAAGGGGAUCUGUUAGAGCAAUCGAAGCAGUGAACUUAAGCCCCAGUAAACGGCGGCCGUAACUAUAACGGUCCUAAGGUAGCGAAAUUCCUUGUCGGGUAAGUUCCGACCCGCACGAAAGGCGUAACGAUUUGGGCACUGUCUCAACAACAGACUCGGUGAAAUUGUAAUUCCGGUGAAGAUGCCGGAUACCUGCGACAGGACGGAAAGACCCCAUGGAGCUUUACUGUAGCUUGACAUUGGGUCUUGGUACUACAUGUACAGGAUAGGUGGGAGGCUUUGAAACCAGGACGCCAGUUUUGGCGGAGCCAUCCUUGGGAUACCACCCUUGUAGUACUGGGACUCUAACCAUAGGCCAUGAAUCUGGUCUUGGGACACUGUCAGGUGGGCAGUUUGACUGGGGCGGUCGCCUCCCAAAAGGUAACGGAGGCGCUCAAAGGUUCUCUCAGUACGGUCGGAAAUCGUACGUAGAGUGUAAAGGCAAAAGAGAGCUUGAUUGCAAGACAUACAGGUCGAGCAAGGAUGAAAAUCGGACUUAGUGAUCCGGUGGUUCUGCGUGGAAGGGCCAUCGCUCAACGGAUAAAAGCUACCCUGGGGAUAACAGGCUUAUCUCCCCCAAGAGUCCACAUCGACGGGGAGGUUUGGCACCUCGAUGUCGGCUCAUCACAUCCUGGGGCUGUAGUAGGUCCCAAGGGUUGGGCUGUUCGCCCAUUAAAGUGGUACGCGAGCUGGGUUCAGAACGUCGUG